rnacentral:rRNA from 1 species
UACGUAGGGGGCAAGCGUUGUCCGGAAUCAUUGGGCGUAAAGAGCGCGUAGGCGGCCCAGUAAGUCCGCUCUGAAAGUCAGGGGCUCAACCCCUGGAUGCGGGUGGAUACUGCUGGGCUAGAGUCCGGAAGAGGUGAGUGGAAUUCCUGGUGUAGCGGUGAAAUGCGUAGAUAUCGGGAGGAACACCAGUGGCGAAGGCGACUUCCUGGCCUGUUCUUGACGCUGAGGCGCGAAAGCUAGGGGAGCAAACGGG